UACGAAGGGGGCUAGCGUUGCUCGGAAUCACUGGGCGUAAAGCGCACGUAGGCGGAUUGCUAAGUCAGGGGUGAAAUCCUGGAGCUCAACUCCAGAACUGCCCUUGAUACUGGCGGUCUCGAGUCCGGGAGAGGUGAGUGGAACUGCGAGUGUAGAGGUGAAAUUCGUAGAUAUUCGCAAGAACACCGGUGGCGAAGGCGGUUCUCUGGGCAUGUCCUGACGCUGAGGAGCGAAAGUGUGGGGAGCGAACAGG
rnacentral:rRNA from 1 species